AUGUUUCUUUCUUUUUUUCUCUUUUUUUUUUUUAAACGAUUGUCCACAGAGAGGUGCCGAUUGCAUCACCAUGCCGACAGACCCCUCCCUCAAAGUCGCUGACGUGCUGGAGCGCCAGCUGGAUCUUCUGCUGGAGUUUCUCCACCUUCACCUUCUCCUGGAGCCAGGAUCGGUCUUUACGGGAGCCAUAUGCAGCAGAGCCUCACUAACGUCUCUGUUCUACCAUAAAUAACCGUUGCAGAGACAGCAAUGCCAGGUGAGGCAGGGAUGAGUGCUCAGAGUUUGCUUCCAGG